GUGAGGAAUUUUGCGCAAUGGGGGAAACCCUGACGCAGCAACGCCGCGUGAGUGAUGAAGGCUUUCGGGUCGUAAAGCUCUGUCAAAUGGGAAGAACUUGCUGAAUGUUAAUAGCAUUUGGCAUUGACGGUACCAUUGAAGGAAGCACCGGCUAACUCCGUGCCAGCAGCCGCGGUAAUACGGGGGGUGCAAGCGUUAUUCGGAAUUAUUGGGCGUAAAGGGCGCGUAGGCGGAUCUUUAAGUCAGAUGUGAAAGCCCAAGGCUUAACCUUGGAAGUGCAUUUGAAACUAUGGGUCUUGAGUAUGGGAGAGGGAAGUGGAAUUCCUGGUGUAGAGGUGAAAUUCGUAGAUAUCAGGAGGAACACCGGUGGCGAAGGCGACUUCCUGGACCAAUACUGACGCUGAGGCGCGAAGGCGUGGGGAGCGAACAGGAUUAGAAACCCUGGUAGUCC
rnacentral:rRNA from 1 species